rnacentral:rRNA from 1 species
UACGUAGGGUGCAGGCGUUAAUCGGAAUUACUGGGCGUAAAGCGUGCGCAGGCGGCUCCUUAAGUCAGAUGUGAAAGCCCCGGGCUUAACCUGGGAACUGCGUUUGAAACUGGGGGGCUAGAGUGUGGAAGAGGGGGGUGGAAUUCCAGGUGUAGCAGUGAAAUGCGCAGAUAUCGGGAGGAACACCGGUGGCGAAGGCGGUUCUCUGGGCCUUACCUGACGCUGAGGAGCGAAAGCGUGGGGAGCGAACAGG